CCAGCUCUGAUUGUAAUUUAUCAUACUCUAAUCGCAAUUCAUCUAACAUCCGGACCCUCUCCGGUCUCUUAACUACAAAACUCACAAUGGGCUUCAAAAGAGAUUUGGUAUCAGGAUCAUCCCAUUUCACUGAUUCCCACCACUUCUUUUGAUCUGCAUAAAUACGAAGUUUAGGAGGUGAAGAUGGUAGGACUUGGGGAAGUUUAAGAGGCAUCCUUUUUAAUUCCGGACAGAGUGUAACCUUAAACCAUUCAAGAGAUUCACAAACCACUACUGC
rnacentral:lncRNA from 1 species